UGUACUUUUUUAUACGUGGCAAACAGUUAUUUUUUAGUUUCAAUCGCUUGUUCAUGUUCUUCUGCUUGAGUUAUAUGUAUAUAUGUUUAUGGAGAAAUCUAUGUCAACAUGUGCAAUGAACAUAAUGUACUGCUGUGUUCAGGAAUGUUGCUUUACAAAAUGAUCGCUUUAUGAUUUUGAUCUAUUCUAGAGGAAAUAAACGCUGUUCAAGGAAAUGAAAAAUCUACAGGGAAUGUUUCUUCUGCAACUCUACCUCCACUACCUGGUCAGCAAACUUUCAUUACAGCAGAUCAAUAUUUUCUUCCUAUUGAGUUAGUUUGUCAAACAAAAUGUGCCAGGAUUGUCACCAUUGCACUUGACUGUAUACAAAAACUCAUUGCUUAUGGUCAAAUUGUUGGCGAUACACCAGACUCCAUUGAACCAGAGAGGCGUUUAAAUGACAGAGUUAUCGAGACUAUUUGUUCUUGCUUUACAGGUAUAAAUACUGAUGUAAACGUUCAAAUACAAAUUAUAAAGGCUCUUCUAACAGCUCUUACAUCAAGUACUUGAGAAAUGCAUGAAGGAGCUUAACUUCAAGCAGUUAGAACAGUUUACAACAUUUACCUUGCCAGUAAAAGUCUUAUUAGUCAAACAACAGCAAAGGCAACACUGACGCAAAUGAUAAGUCUUGUGUUUCAGAGAAUGGAAAGUCAAGCU